rnacentral:lncRNA from 1 species
CAUCUUAUGUUUAAUUUUUGUUAUCUUAUUUUAUUAUUUAUGAUAAAAUUAUUAUGUGUUCGUAUUAAUUUUGUGACAUACAUUUUAUGUAGCUUAUUUGAAAUGGCAUUGAAAAAAAUUAUGGCUAAUUUAAAUAAAGGUGAGAAACUUAAUGGUAAAAAUUUUGAUAUUUGACACCGUAAAGUUCUAUAUAUCCUUAAAGAGC